UACGUAGGGACCAAGCGUUGUUCGGAUUUACUGGGCGUAAAGGGCGCGGUAGGCGGCUUAACAAGUCACUUGUGAAAUCUCCGGGCUUAACUCGGAACGGCCAAGUGAAACUGUCAAGCUAAGAGUGCAGAAGGGGCAAUCGGAAGUUCUUGGUGGUAGCGGUGAAAUGACGUAGAUAUCAAGAGGAACACCUGAGGUGAAGACGGGUUGCUGGGCUGACACUGACGCUGAGGCGCGAAAGCCAGGGGAGCAAACGGG
rnacentral:rRNA from 1 species